UAACCUGCCCAAGAGAUCGGGAUAACACCUGGAAACAGAUGCUAAUACCGGAUAACAACAGAUGAUGCCUAUCAACUGUUUAAAAGAUGGUUCUGCUAUCACUCUUGGAUGGGCCUGCGGUGCAUUAGCUAGUUGGUAGGGUAACGGCCUACCAAGGCGAUGAUGCAUAGCCGAGUUGAGAGACUGAUCGGCCACAUUGGGACUGAGACACGGCCCAAACUCCUACGGGAGGCAGCAGCC
rnacentral:rRNA from 1 species